GACAGCCAGUAUGUUGUUCAGUAUUGCUCAAACUGCAAACGGGAAGUGGUGUUUCCAGUGGCGAACGGGUGAGUAACGCGUAAGAACCUGCCCUUGGGAGGGGAACAACAACUGGAAACGGUUGCUAAUACCCCGUAGGCUGAGGAGCAAAAGGAGAAAUUUGCCCAAGGAGGGGCUCGCGUCUGAUUAGCUAGUUGGUGAGGUAAUAGCUUACCAAGGCGAUGAUUAGUAGCUGGUUCGAGAGGAUGAUCAGCCACACUGGGACUGAGACACGACCCAGACUCCUACGGGAGGCAGCAGUGGGGAAUUUUCUGCAAUGGGCGAAAGCCUGACGGAGCAAUGCCGCAUGGAGGUGGAAGGCCUACGGGUCGUCAACUUCUUUUCGCGGAGAAGAAACAAUGACGGUAUCUGAGAAAUAAGCAUCGGCUAACUCCGUGCCAGCAGCCGCGGUAAGAUAGUCUUGUC
rnacentral:ncRNA from 1 species